CCUGCCUGCCAGCUGCAGGGCUGCAUGGGAGAAGGACCUCUUCACAAUGCCGACUGUCCUCCAGCUCUGGUCCUGAAGCCACACACCUCAGUUUGCACCCUGCAUGCCUCUGAUGUUCCCUGAGUCACUGUCUCUCCACUGGAGCCCAAGGUGCACCCGGGACCUGCAGGCAAGGCUAAAGGGCCAGACGCUUAGCUCUGUCAUCUCAGCAUCCAGCGUCCAAGUGAGCAGAGCAAAGCCGGCUGCGGCCUCCCAUCUGGACACUGGAUUUGGAGUAUUUGCUGCAAACAAGACCCAAUAGUUUUGGCCGUCACGGAGCUCACCGUCCCUCUCAGGACUGGAGACCUGCAUGACACAGGCCCUUCACGUCCUGACAGCCACACCAGAGAAGGACUCGUGAAUUCCACACUGGCCUUCCUCUGAAAUCAUUAGGCUGCCUGGAGACCCCGCCAACUUUCAACAUAAUGAAGACCUGAUAUUAGCAAGCUGCACAUGUGCACACACGUGCAUACACGCAUGCAUGUAUAUAUACACAUAUGUGUGUAUGUGUAUAUAAUAUGACACAUAAUUUCAGUAGAACUACAGAGAUGAUAGGUUUGAAAUAAGUAUAUACCUCAUAAUACUGAUAAAUACACAAAAGAUCACAUCUUACAUAUUAUUAAAAUAAUUUUUCAUUCCAUUCUACUGUUUUUAUGUUUACUAUAGUGAGAGUAAGAUAUGAAAUUGAUAGAGGAUGAAAAAUUGACUAAUCAUCCAACAUUUCUUCUAAUUCUCAUGAUUAAGUCACAAAAUAAAGUUAGCUCCUAAGGAACUACUUGAAUAAUCAAUUGACAUAGACUUCAAAAACCUCAUUUUAAGCAUUUCUCUUAGUACUCUGACGUAGGCUGUGACCCAUGUCACCCCGUCUUUAGUGAUCUGGUGUAAACACGCUGGCACUGGAGCGGUCACCAGCGAGUUUUCCCUCUGUGGACGCUGACUCUGGUGUCAUCCAUUAUUUUUGCUUCAGGGCACUUCUUACACUUGAGCAUGCCUGGGGUCACCUGGAGGCCCUGGGAAACAACAGCCCCUGCCCCUCCUGUGCCUCCAGGGUUUUCAGUUCAGCGGGGCAGGGGCUUGAGAAUUCGCAUCCUACCCAACUCCUGCGAGAUGCUGACGCUGCUGGUUCUAGGGAAUCAAACUUCCAGAAACACUGGUUCCAGGAAUUUAAAAACCAUGAAACAAACAAAAAU